ensembl:lncRNA
CAGGGAGCAGACGGCUGAUCAGCUAUUAUCUAAAGAUUACCAGUUGGACAUUUAAUCAUCAUUAGCAGGAGUCCUGAACAUCACAGGAGCACGGCUGUCAAUAAAGGCCACCCCUUUUUAUUCAAAUAAACACACAGGUGUAUGAAAAACAGACGAUUCAGUGCCUGAAAUGUCUGAAGAAAAAUCCUCUCCAUCAUCAUCUGCUGUCACUACACAAACAUUAGAAACUGUUUUAUGGAGCUAAAGAGCCCAAAUCUCUUUUCCUGCUGUGGACUGACUCCAGCCUGACUGUGUGAGGAACACCAGGGUAAACGUUGGACUUUAACGUGAACUUUUUAGACUGGGGCGGGUGAUUCUGACCUCAUGACCGCAUGGCGUUGGCCUUCGACUCGCCACAUCACAUCAUCAUUGAAUGACAGCUCAUAACAGCUGAACUGACUAAAUGAGGAAAGUGAACAACCCCCCAUCAGAACAAGGCAGCCACAUGAUCAUCAGUCUGGAGACAAACGGCUGAGUGAAAGCAAACAGCACACAGUGGAUACGAACAUAUUCUGACCAGAGCUGAGACUGAAAAACCUGAAAUCAUCGUCACACGUUUACCCAGAAUCCCUCAGAAACUCACCUGAACGUUUGAUUACCUGGUAAAUUAUUGAAAUAUUAAUGAAAUCAGGCUGAGAUGUUCCACUUUGACCACAUUCAGUGAAUCUGUGCCCCACCUGAGUUCGUACAAUCCUUCCUGGGAUUAAAGCUGAUCACAGAUAAACUGAUUAAAGUUACUCUGAAGCAGAAACAAUAAUAACGAGCUGUUACAGCCGCUAACAUGAGAGGAUCGGAUGAGUUUCUCCUCAUAGUUCAUGCAUGCUGUGCGCAAUUAACAAUAUAUUAUGUCAUGUCACACACAGCUCAUGUGACCAGCAGAGAAAACGAAAGCUGGCUUCACCUGUCGGGGUUUCACCUGCCCCUCAGCACAAAGUCUCCACAGUCUCCUCACAGAGUUCCCUGCAGGGGCAUCAUGGAGGAAGUCCAGAGCAGCUGAACUUCAUCCCUCGGCUUCCCAAACAUGUGCCGGAGCACAGCGCCAUGGCUAGUUGCCGCUCCAUUCUGCCCACACCAGGGUAAAAACCCCCGCUGUCCUCACCCUGGAGCCCCUCGCGGGUCCGGCCCGGUACCGUCGCCCUGUUUCACCGACUAACGCUCACACAGACCAGGUCAUGUUUUCAAACACGCUCGGGCGGGAGAAGUUGACGUGUAGAUAUGCUAACGUUAGCCUAGCCUGCUGCAUGGCUGGGUGUCGUUACCGGAGCGAGCCGUGAAUAAAAACACAAAAACCUGGAACUCCGGGACAGAAGCUCCGGGUACCGCGCCCGGUCCGUCUGGGAUAAGCGUGUUUACGGCGGUUCCCGGUGGCGCCAGGUGACCGUGCGUGCUAGCCUGGCAGCUAUCCGUCUGCAGCUAACCGCCUGUUUCAUUGUUUACUUCACUGAAAUACAUCGAUUUUUCCCGCCGCUCGCCCUCCGGUUACUCGCCUCUGAUGGCCACGGACGCCGGAACUCACCAGGCUGGACAUUCGGAGCCCGCAGACUCCCUUGUUCGCCCCGGAGCCCGAGCCCUCCCCUGGCUGCUAGCAGCGGCUAGCCUCCAGCCCGUGCUGUGACAGCAGGCCACAAGUCAACACAGGCGGCCGCAUCCUUUCUUUCUCCCCGCUAGCUCCACCGCGGCCGCCGCCCGCACGCACCGGCUGCACGCUAGCUCCGUGCCGGGAGCGGCGCACUCGGAUCCGGUCUCAGCUUCAGCUGCGCCCGCCUACAGAAAUUAUCCGCGACAAAAACAUGAAACCUCCGCUUACCUGCACAUGAUCCGCCAUUUUUCUCCAUUUCAUGCACCUCUCACUCCCCCGCUUAUGGGUAACCAAAGUGACAACAGCGCCCCCGCUGGUGGCCGCUGGCAGGACUCCAGCAGCACGAUGCAACACAAUGUAACACAAUGGAACGCAAUUUAAUAUAACACAAUACAAUUUAAUACAAUUAAAUACAACAUAAAACAAUUUAAUACAACACAAUGUCAUUUAACAAUACAAAUAGAUUAAUAAACUAUACAUCUCAUUAAUACAACGCUGUAACGCUAUGUUACAAUACAACACAAUGUAAUGCACUACAACACACUGGAAUCAAAUACAUAGAGACAUGAAUGCAUAAUAACAUGUAACAAAGAGAAGUUAUGCAUACAAUCAGAGUUUGUUUAGUGACAGACAUUUUACAAACUCAUUAGAAAACCUUUUUAAAAUAAAUUUCUGACUUUUUAAAUUAAUUUUACUGUCAUAUUAUUAAUAUUGUUAUUAUUAUUAUUAUUAUUAUUAUUAUUAGUAGUAGUAGUAGUAGUAGUAUUAGUAUUUUAACUGACAUUUUUAAAGGUGCUUAUAGAUAGAUGGCCUAAAUGGACAAAUGUAAUAUAACAUCUUAUCAUAUAGUAAAACAUCAAAAAACAAGAACAGUAUUAUAAUGUAUGAUUUAUUAAAUUGAAUAUUUUAUU